GGCAGGUUCAGGAAGUAAAUCCUGGCUCUGCUGAGCUCAUCCAGCCCUGGAAGGUUUUCCAUGGCUCCAGUUGCUGUGUUUGUGUCCCUGUGUCCUUGGGAAGCUCCUCAUCCCGAUUUGGCACCUGCAUGGAUUAUCCAUGGGGAUCAGGAUGCACAUUAGGUCAAAGGAAGACAGUUUUUCCAAGGAAGGUGGCGAAACACAGACAUUCCCAUCCCUGGGAACAUCCCAGGGCAGGUUGGACGGGGUUUGGGAGCAACCUGGGAUAGCGGAGGGUGUUGGGGUUGGAACUGGAUGAUCCUUGAGGUCCCUUCCGAGCCGAGCCGUUCCCUGAUUCCGUGACCCCAUCCCGCAUUCCCAGCCCUGCACGCGGCCGUGGCCGGGCAGCAGGCGGAGGCCACGCGGAUCCUGCUCCGUGCCGGGCUCCGGGACACUCCGGAUGGCUCGGGAACGCUGGCCCAGCAGCUCGCCAGGAAGCCAGAGGUCAUCCAGGUGUUCCAGGAAUCCCAGGUCACCACGUGAGGCACGAGGAACGGGAGGAGCCCGGUGGAUUUCCGGCCGGCGCGGGCUGAACUUCCUCCUGGUGCAGCUCCUGGAGCAUCCAAACAGCUGAGGCUG
rnacentral:lncRNA from 1 species